rnacentral:rRNA from 1 species
CUCAGUUCGGAUCGGAGUCUGCAACCCGACUCCGUGAAGCUGGAUUCGCUAGUAAUCGCGCAUCAGCCAUGGCGCGGUGAAUACGUUCCCGGGGCCUUGUACACACCGCCCGUCAAGCCAUGGGAGCCGGGGGUGCUUGAAGUGCGUCGCCGCAAGGCGCGCCCUAGAGCAAAACCGGUGACUGGGGCUAAGUCGUAACAAGGUAUC